GACGAACGCUGGCGGCGUGCUUAACACAUGCAAGUCGAACGAAGUGGCGAACGGGUGAGUAAUACGUGAGUAACCUGCCCUCCUUUUUGGGAUAAGCCUUGGAAACGGGGUCUAAUACCGAAUAAAGGGGGAUGGGCUCGCGGCCUAUCAGCUUGUUGGUGGGGUGAUGGCCUACCAAGGGGGGGACUGGUAGGCGGCCUGAGAGGGUGAACCGCCAACGUUGGACUGGUAUACGGCCCAGACUCCUACGGGAGGCAGCAGUGGGGGAUAUUGCACAAUGGGCGAAAGCCUGAUGCAGCGACGCCGCGUGGGGGAUGAAGGCUUUCGGGGUGGAAACCUCUUUCGCUAUCGGAAGGGUAGGUGGAGAAGAAGCGCCGGCUAACUACGUGCCAGCAGCCGCGGUAAUAC
rnacentral:rRNA from 1 species